rnacentral:tRNA from 1 species
GCCGGGUUGGUGGAAUUGGCAGACACGCCAGCCUUAGGAGCUGGUGGCCGCAAGGCUGUAAGGGUUCGAGUCCCUUACCCGGCACCA